rnacentral:rRNA from 1 species
UCCGGUAGUAGCGGCGAGCGAACCUGGAUUAGCCCUUAAGCACUCGGUGAAGUAGGUGAACAAGCUGGAAAGCUUGGCGAUACAGGGUGAUAGCCCCGUAACCGACGCUUCAUCGAGCGUGAAAUCGAGUAGGGCGGGACACGUGAUAUCCUGUCUGAAUAUGGGGGGACCAUCCUCCAAGGCUAAAUACUCCUGACUGACCGAUAG